ACAAACUUGGUCAUUUAGAGGAAGUAAAAGUCGUAACAAGGUUUCCGUAGGUGAACCUGCGGAAGGAUCAUUAACAAAUUAUCCAUUAUGGAUGGUUAAAAUCCAUAUCCACCUUCGUGUGCACAUCAUUGACAUGUUUGCUUUGGCAGUCUUAAUUUUUUUUUUUUGCGGGGAAGAGAGGAAAAAAGAGGGGAAGAGGAAAAAAAAACGAAAGUUUUUCUUCUUCUUCUUCUUCUUCUCCUCUUCUUUACCGACGCUGCCAGAGUUUUUCAUCCUUUUCACCUUGACAAACUUUUGCUUUUUCCUUCUGGAAAGCAAGUCCUUUGAAAAAGAAUACAAAAAAUUUAAAAUAAAAUCGAAUACAACUUUCAACAACGGAUCUCUUGGCUCUCGCAUCGAUGAAGAACGCAGC
rnacentral:misc_RNA from 1 species